UACAGAGGGUGCAAGCGUUGUUCGGAAUUAUUGGGCGUAAAGCGCGUGUAGGCGGCGUGGCAAGUCGGGUGUGAAAGCCCUCAGCUCAACUGAGGAAGUGCGCCCGAAACUGCUGUGCUUGAGUGCCGGAGAGGGUGGCGGAAUUCCCCAAGUAGAGGUGAAAUUCGUAGAUAUGGGGAGGAACACCGGUGGCGAAGGCGGCCACCUGGACGGUAACUGACGCUGAGACGCGAAAGCGUGGGGAGCGAACAGG
rnacentral:rRNA from 1 species